CGUAUACGUAAGCUCCCGAAGGGAGCUAGAGAGGUAACUCUUUUCGCGCGUUUUUAUUUCCCAUAGGUUUUGUACACAGCCAAUAUGGCUGCCGGCGGACAAUUUGAAGGGUGAUUUUGGAGGGUCAAUGUUUUAUUCAUAAGAUGACGUCAAAUUACGCAAAAUGCACUUCUAUGAUUGGCUAAGACGCUAAUGUUUUAUUCAUAUCUUAUGAAUUAAACACGUUUUUUCCUUCCCACAAUUCCCCACGAGAUCUGUGCGAAGUGUUGUUCUUUUGGACUGUGCGAAUUUCCAGUUUCUACAACGAAAUAGCUCGACUAAUCAUCUGUUUAUAGAAUUGAUGUUCGAAAUCGUGAUUUUUGAGUGAACUUCAUUGGAGCAGAAAAUCUUGGAGGGAACGUCAAUAAUAAUCUACUGACAUUCCAUGAGAAUAAAAAUCCAAUAGGACCAAGAUCUUAGCAGUUCACACCCGGUCAGAGGGACAAAAUUGAGAAGCAUGCAGAUCAGCAAGUGUGAGUUACACUCUAAUGAGGAACAGGACAUCUGAAUUGGAAAAUUGCAAGAUUUCCCACUGCCCAAGCUGUUUAAGUACCGGUAUCACAACAAGUACCAAGAUGGAAGAAGUAUGUAGGCCAAGUUAAUAAGUAGUUACUUCAAAUUAAUUUGAAUAGACAUAUCAACAAAGCAUUGAAUGUUCUUUAAACUGCAUAUCUGUAGAAAAGAGUGUAGUACAAGUUCAGGUUCAUCAGCGGGCAAUGACAUUAAAGUAUACAAAAUUUCACACAGAAUACAAGUAAGAAAUAUUUUUUUUCCAAUGGGCAAAUGUAUUACCUUUUAUUAAUAUUUAAUACUUCUACUAAUUCUUAGAAAUUUUUGAGAAAUUAAAUAUAAUUUCCAUUUUAAAGGCCUAUUGAAUACAAGACAAAAAUUUAUAUUUUGAAAUAAAAAUCAUGCGUAGAUAAAUGUUAAUAAAGGUGAUCAGAGGAUUAAGAAAUAAUUUUAGUAUCAUUCCUGGACCUCCAUUAUAAACAAGUUAUUACUAUUAUAAUCUUGUCACUAUGACAAUUACCAUGGUAACAGGGCUGAGCAAGAAAUCAAGGUCUUUAUGGUAGCUGCAAUGGGCUUGGACAAAGUUACCAUAAUUGCAAGUCUUCAUAGAAUGGCUGAAUAAUUAUGUAGGAAUAUUAAAUUGCAUUUAUUGUUAUCUUACUUUUUAAAAAGUUUUGACAUGGAUAACCUCAGCAAAAAUAUAUAAAUAGACUAUAUUUUUAAAAAUAGAUUGAAUUCUAGCCACAGUGACAGUAGACAAUAUCAAAUUUUGUGAAUGAUUCACUAAUGUAUUGACUGGGAAAGGCACUCUUUAGGGAGAUUCUGGAAUUACCCCCCCCCCCUUUAUGUGGAGUGCUCUCACAUUAGUAGAAUAUUUCUUGUCAGCAAAUUUGGAAGGAAUUUACCUCCUUUUUUUUGAGUGACAAACUUUUGUGGAAAAUAAACAGAAUAUCACAGAUUUUAUGCUCUUUAUGAAAUCCUGGAUGCAUCCCUC